GACGAACGCUGGCGGCGUGCCUAAUACAUGCAAGUAGAACGCUGAAGGAGGAGCUUGCUUCUCUGGAUGAGUUGCGAACGGGUGAGUAACGCGUAGGUAACCUGCCUGGUAGCGGGGGAUAACUAUUGGAAACGAUAGCUAAUACCGCAUAAUAGUAGAUGUUGCAUGACAUUUGCUUAAAAGGUGCAAUUGCAUCACUACCAGAUGGACCUGCGUUGUAUUAGCUAGUUGGUGGGGUAACGGCUCACCAAGGCGACGAUACAUAGCCGACCUGAGAGGGUGAUCGGCCACACUGGGACUGGGACACGGCCCAGACUCCUACGGGAGGCAGCAGUAGGGAAUCUUCGGCAAUGGACGGAAGUCUGACCGAGCAACGCCGCGUGAGUGAAGAAGGUUUUCGGAUCGUAAAGCUCUGUUGUAGGAGAAGAACGAGUGUGAGAGUGGAAAGUUCACACUGUGACGGUAUCUUACCAGAAAGGGACGGCUAACUACGUGCCAGCAGCCGCGGUAAUACGUAGGUCCCGAGCGUUGUCCGGAUUUAUUGGGCGUAAAGCGAGCGCAGGCGGUUAGAUAAGUCUGAAGUUAAAGGCUGUGGCUUAACCAUAGUACGCUUUGGAAACUGUUUAACUUGAGUGCAAGAGGGGAGAGUGGAAUUCCAUGUGUAGCGGUGAAAUGCGUAGAUAUAUGGAGGAACACCGGUGGCGAAAGCGGCUCUCUGGCUUGUAACUGACGCUGAGGCUCGAAAGCGUGGGGAGCAAACAGGAUUAGGAUACCCUGGUAGUCCACGCCGUAAACGAUGAGUGCUAGGUGUUAGACCCUUUCCGGGGUUUAGUGCCGUAGCUAACGCAUUAAGCACUCCGCCUGGGGAGUACGACCGCAAGGUUGAAACUCAAAGGAAUUGACGGGGGCCCGCACAAGCGGUGGAGCAUGUGGUUUAAUUCGAAGCAACGCGAAGAACCUUACCAGGUCUUGACAUCCCUCUGACCGCUCUAGAGAUAGAGCUUUCCUUCGGGACAGAGGUGACAGGUGGUGCAUGGUUGUCGUCAGCUCGUGUCGUGAGAUGUUGGGUUAAGUCCCGCAACGAGCGCAACCCCUAUUGUUAGUUGCCAUCAUUCAGUUGGGCACUCUAGCGAGACUGCCGGUAAUAAACCGGAGGAAGGUGGGGAUGACGUCAAAUCAUCAUGCCCCUUAUGACCUGGGCUACACACGUGCUACAAUGGCUGGUACAACGAGUCGCAAGCCGGUGACGGCAAGCUAAUCUCUUAAAGCCAGUCUCAGUUCGGAUUGUAGGCUGCAACUCGCCUACAUGAAGUCGGAAUCGCUAGUAAUCGCGGAUCAGCACGCCGCGGUGAAUACGUUCCCGGGCCU
rnacentral:rRNA from 1 species